rnacentral:rRNA from 1 species
AUUGAACGCUGGCGGCAUGCUUUACACAUGCAAGUCGAGCGGCAGCGCGGGGGCAACCCUGGCGGCGAGCGGCGAACGGGUGAGUAAUGCAUCGGAACGUAUCCUCGAGUGGGGGAUAACCCAGCGAAAGUUGGGCUAAUACCGCAUGAGCUCUGAGGAGGAAAGCGGGGGACCUGCGAGGGCCUCGCGCUGGAGGAGCGGCCGAUGUCCGAUUAGCUAGUUGGUGGGGUAAAGGCUUACCAAGGCGACGAUCGGUAGCUGGUCUGAGAGGAUGAUCAGCCACCUUGGGACUGAGACAGGGCCAGACUCCUACGGGAGGCAGCAGUGGGGAAUUUUGGACAAUGGGGGCAACCCUGAUCCAGCCAUGCCGCGUGAGUGAAGAAGGCCUUCGGGUUGUAAAGCUCUUUCGGACGGAACGAAAUGGGCGGGACUAAUACUCCUGUCUGAUGACGGUACCGUAAGAAGAAGCACCGGCUAACUACGUG